UGGUGGCUAUAGAGAAGGGGAAAUACCUGAUCCCAUCCCGAACUCAGAAGUCAAGCCCUUACUCGCCGAUGGUACUGCACACAAGAGUGUGGAAGAGUAGGUUGCUGCCA
rnacentral:rRNA from 1 species